rnacentral:rRNA from 1 species
UCUAUGGAUCGAGGAUUCGUCCAAGUGAAGUAGAGGACAGUGGCGGACGGGUGAGUAACGCGUGAGGAACCUGCCUUUCAGAGGGGGACAACAGUUGGAAACGACUGCUAAUACCGCAUAACACAUAGAGAUCGCAUGGUUUUUAUGUCAAAGAUUUAUCGCUGAAAGAUGGCCUCGCGUCUGAUUAGCUAGUUGGUGAGGUAACGGCCCACCAAGGCGACGAUCAGUAGCCGGACUGAGAGGUUGACCGGCCACAUUGGGACUGAGAUACGGCCCAGACUCCUACGGGAGGCAGCAGUGGGGAAUAUUGGGCAAUGGGCGCAAGCCUGACCCAGCAACGCCGCGUGAAGGAAGAAGGCUUUCGGGUUGUAAACUUCUUUUGUCGGGGACGAGUAGAAGACGGUACCUGGCGAAUAAGCCACGGCUAACUACGUGCCAGCAGCCGCGGUAAUACGUAGGUGGCAAGCGUUGUCCGGAUUUACUGGGUGUAAAGGGCGUGUAGCCGGGAAGGCAAGUCAGAUGUGAAAUCCACGGGCUUAACUCGUGAACUGCAUUUGAAACUGUUUUUCUUGAGUAUCGGAGAGGCAAUCGGAAUUCCUAGUGUAGCGGUGAAAUGCGUAGAUAUUAGGAGGAACACCAGUGGCGAAGCGGAUUGCUGGACGACAACUGACGGUGA